AUUGAACGCUGGCGGCAUGCCUUACACAUGCAAGUCGAACGGUAACGCGGGGCAACCUGGCGACGAGUGGCGAACGGGUGAGUAAUAUAUCGGAACGUGCCCAAUAGUGGGGGAUAGCCCGGCGAAAGCCGGAUUAAUACCGCAUGAGACCUGAGGGUGAAAGCGGGGGAUCGCAAGACCUCGCGCUAUUGGAGCGGCCGAUAUCAGAUUAGGUAGUUGGUGGGGGUAAAAGCCUACCAAGCCGACGAUCUGUAGCUGGUCUGAGAGGGCGACCGGACACACUGGGACUGAGACACGGCCCAGACUCCUACGGGAGGCAGCAGUGGGGAAUAUUGCGCAAUGGGCGAAAGCCUGACGCAGCGACGCCGCGUGCAGGAAGAAGGCCUUCGGGUUGUAACUGCUUUGUACGGACGAAAAGGACUCUGGUUAAUACCUGGGGCUCAUGACGGUACCGUAAGAAUAAGCACCGGCUAACUACGUG
rnacentral:rRNA from 1 species